AGCUUGCUACCUGACCUAGCGGCGGACGGGUGAGUAAUGCUUAGGAAUCUGCCUAUUAGUGGGGGACAACAUUCCGAAAGGAAUGCUAAUACCGCAUACGCCCUACGGGGGAAAGCAGGGGAUCUUCGGACCUUGCGCUAAUAGAUGAGCCUAAGUCAGAUUAGCUAGUUGGUGGGGUAAAGGCCUACCAAGGCGACGAUCUGUAGCGGGUCUGAGAGGAUGAUCCGCCACACUGGGACUGAGACACGGCCCAGACUCCUACGGGAGGCAGCAGUGGGGAAUAUUGGACAAUGGGCGAAAGCCUGAUCCAGCCAUGCCGCGUGUGUGAAGAAGGCCUUUUGGUUGUAAAGCACUUUAAGCGAGGAGGAGGCUACCGAGAUUAAUACUCUUGGAUAGUGGACGUUACUCGCAGAAUAAGCACCGGCUAACUCUGUGCCAGCAGCCGCGGUAAUACAGAGGGUGCGAGCGUUAAUCGGAUUUACUGGGCGUAAAGCGUGCGUAGGCGGCUUUUUAAGUCGGAUGUGAAAUCCCUGAGCUUAACUUAGGAAUUGCAUUCGAUACUGGGAAGCUAGAGUAUGGGAGAGGAUGGUAGAAUUCCAGGUGUAGCGGUGAAAUGCGUAGAGAUCUGGAGGAAUACCGAUGGCGAAGGCAGCCAUCUGGCCUAAUAC
rnacentral:rRNA from 1 species